UUCUAAUCUAGUUAUGCAUGUCAUCAUGAGUUAUCCACUUAUAUUGUAUUCUUGUUAUUGUAGAUUAACAGCACAUAUAUGGCAUCCUCACUGUCACUAAGAGGCAUACUAGAUGCUAACAAAUUGAUUGAAUCAAACUAUAUGGACUGAUUGAAAAUUUUAAGAAUUGUUCUUACUCAAGAGAAAGUCUCUGACAUACUGAAUUCACCUGCACUUG
rnacentral:lncRNA from 1 species